CUCUGUUCACGGAAAGGGCCUGGGAGCUGCAACACCUCAACAGCAACAAGCACACCUGCUACCUAGAACUUGGUUUCUAAAAACCAUCCUCCUCUAAAAGGAAACAGAGCUCUUUGAAGAAACGGGUCUCCCUAUGUUGCCCAGGCUGGCCUCAAACUCCUGGGCUCAAGUUAUCCUCCUGCCUCGGCCUCCCAAAAUGCUGGGAUUGCAGGCAUGAGUGACCGCACCUGGCCACCUUUCCACAUUUAAGAGAUCCCUGGGAUACUGCGAAGCAGGAGUCCAUCUCCAGACAUGAGGAGCAGGUGGGCUAAAGGAAACAGGACUGGGGAGUCUUGGAGGGGCAGAGCAAUGCCCAGGGACACAGAAACUUUUGAAUAAAGACAAGAGAGACCGA
rnacentral:lncRNA from 10 species